AACUCAACUUUAUGUAAUGUGUAAGAUAUUUAGAAGGUAAACCAUGCAUUCUUAGUUAAGAUAAAAACACAAGAACUUUCCUCUGCUCGUAUUUGAGGAAUAUGUCUGUUGAGGGACACGUUCUACAAAACAAUGAAGUUUGCUGCAUCAACUGCAUUUUCCUUUCAUGAAAAAUUUCUCUGUACCAUGCAGUGGUGUUUGACAGCAUGUUACCCACAGUAGAAUUACUUUCAAAAUCUGAGUCAAUCUUCUCAAACCCUGCCGCUGCUUUAUCAACUAAGUAUGCACUACUGUAAAUCUUUGAUCACUUCAACAAUGUUCACAGCAUCUUCGCUGGUAGAUUUCCUCUUAAAAAACCACAUUGCUCAUUCACAAGAACCAAUGCCUCAGCAAUUUACGUUUUCUCAUGAGACUGCAGUAAUUCAGUCACAUCCUCAGGCUCCAUGUCUAAUUCUAGUUCACUUGCUAGUUCCACCCCAUCUGCAGUUACUUCCUCUACUGAAGUCUUGGAAUGAACUUCUUCCAAACUCCUGUUCAUGUUGCAUUUUGACCUCCUUCCAUGAAUCACCAAUGUUUUUAAUGGCAUCUAGAAUGGUGAAUCCUUUCCUGAGGGUUUUCAAUGUGCUUUGCCCAGAUCCAUCAGAGGAACCACUGCCUGUGACAGCUAAAGCCUUAUGAAGUGUAUUUCUUAAGUAAAAGUAAAACUUACUCCUUGAUCCAUGGGCUACAGAAUGGAUGUUGUGUUAGCAGGCAUGAAAACAACAACAGUCUCCUUGUACAUCUCCAUCAGACCUCUUGGGUGACCAGGUGCAUUGUCAAUGAGCAGUAAUAUUUUGAAAGAAAUCUUUUUUUCUGAGCAGUAGGUCUCAACAGUAGGCUUAAAACAUUCAGUAAACCUUGCUGUAAACAAAUCUGCUGUCAUCUGCCGAGGCUUUGUUAGUCAUUGGCAGGGUAUAGGUAGAUUUAGCUUCAGAUUCAAGGGCCUUAGGAUUUUCUGAAUGGUAAAUGAGCACUGGCUUCAACGUAAGGUCACCAGCUACAUUAGUCCCUAACAAGAGCGUCAGCCUUCGAAGCCUGGAAGCCAGGCAUUGACUGUUCUCUAGCUAUGAAAGUCCUACAUGGCAUCUUCUGUUUCAUCUGCAUUGCAAAUGUGUAGUGUAGCCACCUUUUUCAAGAUCAUAGCUAGAUCUUCUGGAGAACUUGCUGCAGCUUCUACAUCAGCACUUGCUGCUUUACCUCGCACUUUAUGUUAUGGAGAUGGCUUCUUUCCUUAAACUUCAUGAACCAACCUCUGCAAGCUUUCAAAUUUUCUUCUGCAGCCUCCUUACCUCUCUCAGCCUUCAAAGAAUUGAAAUGAGUUAAGGCCUUGCUAUGGAUUAGGUUUGGCUUAAGGAAAUGUGGCUGGUUUGAUCUUUAUCCAGACCACUCAAACAUUCUCCAUAUCAGGAAAUAAGGCUGUUUUGCUUUCUUUUUUCUUUUUUUUUUUUUAAAGAAAUGGAGUCUCUCUCUGUCACCCAGAACAGAAUCCAGUGGUGUGAUCAUAGCUCACUGCAGCCUCAAACUCCUGGGCUCUAGCGAUCCUCCUGUAUCAGCCUCCUGAGGAGCUAGGACUACAGGCAUGCACCACACACAGCUUGCUUUCUUAUCAUUAGUGUUCGAUGGAGUAACACUUGUAAUUUCCUUCAAUAACUUUUUCUUUGCAUUCACAGCUUGGCUGUUUGGUGCAAGAGGCCUAGCUUUGGGCCUAUCUCAGCUUUUGAAUGCCUGCUUCACUAAGCAUAAUCAUUUCUAGCUUUUGAUUUAAAGCGAGAGACUUUCGACUUUUUCUUUCACUUAACACUUAGAAGCCACUGUACUGUAGGGCUUUUGGCCUCAUUUCAAUAUUGUAUCUCAGGGAACGGGGAGCCUGAGGAGAGGGGAAGAGAGACGGGGGAACAGUCAGAACACACACAACAUUUAUCAAUUAAGUUUGCCAUCUUAUAUGGGCACAGGUCAUGGCUCCCCAAAACAAUUACAACAGUAACAUCAAAGAUCACAGAUCACCAUAAAAGACAGAGUAAUAAUGAAAAAGCUUGAAAUGUUGGGAGAGCUACCAAAUGUGAUGCAGACACACAAAGUGCGCACAAGCUGUUGGAAAAAUGCUGCCGACUGACUUGCCUGCUGCAGGGCUGCCACAAACUGUAAAAAUGCAGCGCACCUGUGAAGCGCCACGAAGCCACACAUGAUGGGGUGGGACACGUCUGUGCAUGGCUGGGGAAACAGUCACCCUUGUGGGUGUACAGCUCUUCAGAUGUUUUGCAUUAGAAUGCAGGCAUAAAGUCCCUUAUGUAUUUUUAAUUUCCAAGCAACAAUAAUUUAAAAAUCAGUUGGAGAGUGUCAGCAGGUGCUUCUAGGUUCUGUGUGGUGAGCCCCCAGGUCCUGGCGUGUAGGGCUCUGGAUGUCUCUGUACACGGGAUAGAAACAUGGUCACGUGGGAAUGCCAAUAUGACUUAUUGCUUAUUGAGCUGUGCAGGCUUUUCUGCUUUAUCAAUUACGCCUCCAGGAAGCUGUGAAAGAAAGCUUCCUCCAUCUCCCACAGGAUUUGUCUCCAUAUUUGUGACACAUAAUAAAAUGUUAUGUACUCUUUACGUAAUUUUACUCUCCUACUCAUGGCUGCUUAUCACUUGUGACAACAUGUUAAUUUUUCCAGUGCGGUCCUUGUAGACUGUUUUUCUUUUUCUUUUUUUUUUUUUUUUUUUUUUGAGGCAGAGUCUUGCUCUGUCACCCAGGCUGGAGUACAGUGGCACAAUCUCAGCUCACUGCAAUCUCCACCUGCUGGGUUCAAGCGAUUCUUGUGCCUUAGCCUCCCCAGUAGCUGGGAUUACAGGAGCACACCACCACGCCUGGCUAAUUUCUGUAUUUUUAGUAGAGAUGGGGUUUUGCUAUGUUGGCUACCAUGUACAAAAAUACAAAAAUUAGCUGGGCAUGGUGGCGGGCACUUGUAAUCCCAGCUACUUGGGAGGCUGAGGCACGAGAAUCGCUUGAACUCCUGACCUCAGGUGAUCCGUCUGCCUCGGCCUCCCAAAGUGCUGGGAUUACAGGCGUGAACCACCAUGCCCGGCCUAGACUGUAUUUCUUCAAAGAUCACAGGCUGCUGAUAAAAGUACCCUGCCUUCCCAAUUGAGGUGAUUUCUGACAGCUAAUUACCAAAAGACAUCACUGUCUUACGAUAGCAACUCAACACAGAAAGUCUGAUGGAAAGCCAUUUUAUUUUUCUCUAAAUUUUAAAAUAGAAGACUUUAAUGGAAAACAUUUAGUACCAUCAUGUCACCCUGAAUGCCAGCAAUACCUCGACUUUUACACACGCAGGAAGCCUAGUAAAAGCCCCGUCAGUAGUACACAUUUCUCUAUGGUCCUUCAACAGUUUUGCAUAUACAAAAUUUUCUGCUAUUUUGCUUUAGCAAACAGCAAUAACUUUUGUGUUUCCUAUAUGACACCUAAUAUCCAGUCCUACAGUAAUAUAGUUAGAAAAAUAAAAGGCUUAAAAAUUUCAUAGUACGAGUUCAUGGUGCUAAUAACAGAAUCUCUUUAAACAUAAGAUCAUUUUAAGCCUCUUACAUAACCACCUUCUGGUUUCAUUUGAAAUCCUUAAGAAUUAAAAUCUAGUAAGAUUGUUAAAUCAACGUAUGUCAAUCAUUCAUUUUCACUUGCCUUGGGAGAGUUAAUUCCCACUGUCCACUGAAUGAAUGCCUUUCAAAUAUUAAUAAAUAUAUUACAGUAUUUACAAGCAUUCUUAUACACUCCGACACUGACAGGGAGUUAAGCCAUGGAGAGGGAAGCACAGGUUUCCCAAUAGUGUGACUUCAUGACGUAUGGGACAAAAGGAACCGGUGCUCAGGCCUGGAGGGAGCUGAGAUGAGAGCAGGGAUGAUGGUUCAGAUACGCACACAUGCUCUAAGACACAUCAGACUCUAGCUGAGACCAGCCAGACAUUUCUUUUGUUGUUGGAUUAGAAGUAAAAGCUGAACAAGAAACCAGGACAGGGAAGGAAGAACUGGAAGCUAUGCCUAAAGUCAGACCAGGCUAAGGAUUUUAAAACCAAGCUCCACAAGCUCUUAGUGAAUUACCCUGUGGAAACUAUGUAGCUGACGUGAAGUGUGGAGGGGGGUGGUACAAAGGGGGGUUAAAUGUAAGACUUUGUUUUGGCAACAAAAAAUGAUAGUAAUUUGAUUUCUACAACUUUAACUGUGCCAUGUGCCCUUUCCUACCCCACUUUCUGCAGAUUGUUUCAUAUGAACGUACCCUCCUCGUGACCUCUUUAAUGCACUUGGCAAACUCCGUUAAUGCUGUUGAAGAAUGUAUGUUCCGUGCUGUGGUAAGAGGUGAUCGUAAUGCCCAAAUCAUCCAAUACACUAUCAUAAAGUGAAGUGAAAGACAUGUACUAGAUGUUUGCUUUGUGAAUGUGAAUGAAAGUCUUAUUUUGGGGGUGUAGUUUCUUAUGUUUUAAUAAAAACAGUAGUCAUUAUUUUAAAAAGCACAUUCUCCUAGGUGCAUAUUUAUAUACAUAUACAAAUACCAUUUCCUUCCCCCUUGUGCCCUUCUGGGUAGUCAUUUUAAAAACUCAAGCCUGGGGUCAUCAAAAGGGGUAGAUUUAUACUCCCACCUAACUGUCUGAAGUAUAGAGUUCAGAUAGUCUCUUAGGAAGUUUUAUAAAUGAGAUUCACCCAGUACAAUUCUGAAAGCUCUUAAACAGGAGUCUUUAAAAUAAUGUAAACACUUAAGUAAUCAAUAAGGGUUCUCUGGUGGCCCACUUUUACAUGCAAAUACAGACCAACUGUUAACAUGCAUUAUUUUAGUCAACUGGUAAAGUUUAUUUCAUAAGUAUAAGUAAUUUUAAGCCUUUUACUAAACUGUAAAUUUCAAUCCAUUAAAAACUACUACCGG
rnacentral:antisense_RNA from 1 species